rnacentral:tRNA from 1 species
GGGGGCGUAGUUCAGAUGAUAGAGCGCUUGCUUAGCAUGCGAGAGGUACGGGGAUCGAUACCUCACGCCUUCA